AUAGGUCAUUUCUUCUGGAAUGGGUAAUGACCCAAAUCUAUAUGGCCCCUGGAUUGGACUGCGGCCGAUCAGGCUGUUGGUGAGGUAAUGGCCCACCAAACCUGUAACCGGUACGGGCUCUGAGAGGAGGAGCCCGGAGAUGGGCACUGAGACAAGGGCCCAGGCCCUAUGGGGCGCAGCAGGCGCGAAACCUCUGCAAUAGGCGAAAGCUUGACAGGGUUACUCUGAGUGAUUUCCGUUAAGGAGAUCUUUUGGCACCUCUAAAAAUGGUGCAGAAUAAGGGGUGGGCAAGUCUGGUGUCAGCCGCCGCGGUAAUACCAGCACCCCGAGUGGUCGGGACGUUUAUUGGGCCUAAAGCAUCCGUAGCCGGUUCUACAAGUCUUCCGUUAAAUCCACCUGCUUAACAGAUGGGCUGCGGAAGAUACUAUAGAGCUAGGAGGCGGGAGAGGCAAGCGGUACUCGAUGGGUAGGGGUAAAAUCCGUUGAUCCAUUGAAGACCACCAGUGGCGAAGGCGGCUUGCCAGAACGCGCUCGACGGUGAGGGAUGAAAGCUGGGGGAGCAAACCGGAUUAGAUACCCGGGUAGUCCCAGCUGUAAACGAUGCAGACUCGGUGAUGAGUUGGCUUAUUGCUAACUCAGU
rnacentral:rRNA from 1 species